AUUGUUCAGAAUAAAAUUUAAAACAUAAAUAAAUAAAUAUAUACAUGAAAUAUUUAAAUAAAAGAGUAUUUACCGUGAGUAUCCCAAGUGGUAAGAGUUCCUUGGAAAAAAGUUACAAACAGUGACGUCACUGUACCCACGCAUAUUUCCGUCUGGAUGAGGAACAAUCUCACCUUGACCUUCGAGAUUGAAAGUUUAUAUAAAGCUAUCCAGAACGUAAACUUGCUAGCCAGCAUUUAAAUUUAUUCGUUUCUACGAUGGCAAUGACCAUGUACAAGGUUGAAUACCAUUAACUGCAUUCGAUUUAAUACUUAAUUUCUGCUG